UUUAUAGAUUUUUGUUUUCUCUGACCAUAUAUAAUGUAGAGUAUGAAACUCCGGCGAGCACGCAUCGACACAAUUCAAUGUCAAUGGCCGUUUCCAGCGUCUCGCCGAAGCAACGCAACAUAAUCAAGGGUGGGAGUUCCUGCAGAACAGGAGGACUCGGUAAUGAUCCUUCCGCAGGUUCACCUACGGAAA
rnacentral:misc_RNA from 1 species